UACUUACACUUGAAUGGAGGAUGGGAAACUAUGCAGCUGUAGUCAUCCUUGUCCGCUAAUGUCCUGACUCCUUAACGUCAGCGUCAUGUCCCCGCUUCCCAUUCAUUUCUAUGGGAGCAGCCGUGCAAUGCAUUCUGGUAGCAUCACGAGAAGCGGGAAGUCCAGUCGCCCGCUCAUUCGAGAAGGGUCCAACUGCAGCUUGCAGCAGUCGCUCACGCCAGGCCCCCUGCUCACGCCGCGCCCGCUCACGCCGCGCCGCGCCCCCGCUGGCACGCAACUUCCGACUUUCAGACAUGUACGGUUUGUUUACAAGACGCAGAUGGACCAUAUUGCCAUAUUGAGUCAUGGCGGCAACAACUCCCGGGAAGCACCUGUGACUUAGCUCAUCACAUUGCACUGGGCCAGUGGACAACUAAAUUUGGCAAAGACAUUGAGGUGCAUCUCUCCAACAACUUAUGUACCUGGAUGCACAUGUCUAUAUUUCUGAUUUGAACCAAAAACUUUUAUAUUGCUUAUUUAACACUUUGCCCAAUUGUUGCAGGAUUUCCCUCAUCAAACUACUGUAAAUUCUUGUGGCAUCUUAAUGUUGAUGUAUGCACUCAGCCUGAGGUCAGUAUUGUUCUUCUCACAUAGGAGCAAGUAUAAGAGGAACUUAAAUCCACCCUAACAUGACAUUGACUUUGGUUAAUUGUUUACAAUUUCCAGAAGUCUAACUAAGCAUGAUCUAUAAAGUACUUUGCACUACAGUAUUAACCACACAUCAAAGAACUGUUUGUGGGACUAUUUAACAUGGCUCUAUAACUUUUUGUACUCUGCUGUAAUUGACAUGCCAAUGGUUUGCAGACAAAUAGUGAUUUGUGACUGAACAUGAACAUUGCUCAACUUAAAUAUUCUAUUUCUUUUAGAGGGACAUGGCACGCAUCUGAAAAUGGUGGUGCAUUAGUCUAAUGGAACGGUUCCAGAUUGACGGCCAUGGACAGAGGUUUGCAUACUGGACUAAUGAGGCCAGAGCAUUGCUCCAAGGUUCACUGCAGCCGAUAUACAGGGUCCCAAAGGUCAGCAAGAGGAAACAUGAGGUUUCGAUUAGAAAAGGAUGACAGGUGCAUCAUAUUGGAGUUACCAACGUGUGUGCUUUCUGAAAUCCUAAAUGAAGUGGUACUACAGGAAGGAGAUAAGGCAUACUUAAGAUUGGCUCUUGUGUGUACCACCUUCAGGGACACUGUGUCCACUGACUCCUUCAGGAGACGGGCACAUUUUCAGUGGCUUGACAGUGUCGCUACAUGGAGCAGGUUUUCUGAGUCCUAAAGAAAAGAAUUCUACACCAUGUACACCGUGGACACCUGUCGUGAAUGUGGAAUGCUUUUCAAAAACUGCACACCUGGAUAUGUUGGAACAGGACAAAGGGGUGUACUUGAAGCAGUUUACUCAGAAGACCCACAUCCAGGUUACUGCGAUCACUUUUGCCGCCAAAUGCAAUAGUGAGAACGGACACGUAUACUAACUGUUGGCAGACAACCCUGAGCCAGCUGG